AUUUGGGCGAGGGGGCCUGAUCGGGUUACCGAAUUCAGACAAACUCCGAAUGCCAAGCAAUUUAACUUGGGAGUCAGAACGCGGGAGAUAAGGUCCGUGUUCGAAAGGGAAACAGCCCAGACCACCAGCUAAGGUCCCAAAAUAUAUGUUAAGUGGAAAAGGAUGUGGCGUUGCCCAGACAACUAGGAUGUUGGCUUAGAAGCAGCCAUCAUUUAAAGAGUGCGUAAUAGCUCACUAGUCGAGUGACACUGCGCCGAAAAUGUACCGGGGCUAAACAUAUUACCGAAGCUGUGGAUUGUCCUUUGGACAAUGGUAGGAGAGCGUUCUAAGGGCGUUGAAGCAUGAUCGUAAGGACAUGUGGAGCGCUUAGAAGUGAGAAUGCCGGUGUGAGUAGCGAAAGACGGGUGAGAAUCCCGUCCACCGAUUGACUAAGGUUUCCAGAGGAAGGCUCGUCCGCUCUGGGUUAGUCGGGUCCUAAGCUGAGGCCGACAGGCGUAGGCGAUGGAUAACAGGUUGAUAUUCCUGUACCACCUAUAAUCGUUUUAAUCGAUGGGGGGACGCAGUAGGAUAGGCGAAGCGUGCGAUUGGAUUGCACGUCUAAGCAGUAAGGCUGAGUAUUAGGCAAAUCCGGUACUCGUUAAGGCUGAGUCCCGAUGCCGAGAAC
rnacentral:rRNA from 1 species